rfam:Salmo salar isolate Sally breed double haploid chromosome ssa28, whole genome shotgun sequence.
UACAUUCACUACUGUAAUUUGCUCUGGAUAAGAGCGUCUGCUAAAUGACUAAAA